rnacentral:rRNA from 1 species
CACGGGGGGAGCAAGCGUUGUUCGGAAUUACUGGGCGUAAAGGGCGUGUAGGCGGUCAGGUAAGUGGAAUGUGAAAUGCCCCGGCUCACCCGGGGACCUGCAUCCCAAACUGCCUGGCUUGAGUAUGGGAGAGGAUGGAGGAAUUCCUGGUGUAGCGGUGAAAUGCGUAGAUAUCAGGAGGAACACCGGUGGCGAAAGCGUCCAUCUGGCCCAAUACUGACGCUGAUGCGCGAAAGCUAGGGGAG